UGAAGACCUUGGUGAAUUUGAUGUUGGUAGCCCAGAUUACUGUGGAAGUAGCUUCCUCAAAAAAUCUCCCACAAACUUUCACUACAGUAUUGCGGAGGCAUUGUGAUAUCACAUCUUCGUUCUGCUGGUAACUUGUUUGAAGCUUUUGUGAAUAAAUAAAUUUAACUAUGGAGCUUUUGACUGGAAGAUGUACCUAUUUUACUCGUGUUUUUGUUGACAUUAUAACUAUAUCAACUCAUAUUGGAUUUCUGGUACUUGUCCAAUUGUCUUGUUUAUGCAACAGCACUAGGUUAUUAAUUUGCAAAAGCUUCAAACAAG
rnacentral:misc_RNA from 1 species